rnacentral:rRNA from 1 species
GAAGCUGGCGGCGUGCUUAACACAUGCAAGCUCGAGUGCGCGUCUGUAGCAAUACAGAUGGCGCACGGCGCACGGGUGCGUAACACGUGGGUAAUCUGCCCUUCGAUGGGGAAUAACCUCGCGAAAGCGAGGCUAAUUCCGCAUAACAUUCCUAAGACUUCGGUCCCUGGACUCAAAGCCGUAAGGCGUCGAUGGAGGAACCCGCGCACGAUUAGCUAGUUGGUGAGGUAACGGCUCACCAAGGCUAUGAUCGUUAGCUGGUCUGAGAGGAUGGCCGGCCACACUGGAACUGAGACACGGUCCAGACUCCUACGGGAGGCAGCAGUGGGGAAUAUUGCGCAGUGGGCGAAAGCCUGACGCAGCGACGCCGCGUGGGGGAUGAAGCUUCUCGGAGUGUAAACCCCUUUCGACCCGGACGAAUGACCCGCAAGGGUUUGACGGUACGGGUAUAAGAAGCCCCGGCUAACUACGUGCCAGCAGCCG